rnacentral:rRNA from 1 species
CCCUUAGAUGUUCUGGGCCGCACGCGUGCUACACUGACCGGUGCAACAAGUUUCUUUCCUUGGCUCGAUAGGCCUGGGUAAUCUUUGAACACCGGUCGUGAUGGGGAUAGAUCCUUGCAAUUUUUGAUCUUCAACGAGGAAUUCCUAGUAAAUGCGAGUCAUCAUCUCGCGUUGAUUACGUCCCUGCCCUUUGUACACACCGCCCGUCGCACCUACCGAUUGGAUGGUCCGGUGAAGCCUCGGGAUUGUGGUUCUUGCCGCUUUAUUGUGGCGUGACCGCGAGAACUUGUCUAAACCUUAUCAUCUAGAGGAAGGUGAAGUCGUAACA